UCCUCCCACCUCACCCCACGUGCCGCGUGCAAGAAGUCCGGUAGCGAAGAAGAGAAGGAGAAGGAUAACUUUGCUAACAAACAUGCCGGAGUCACACAAACGAAAAAGAAUCGACAACAUGAAUGUGGUAGAUCAUUUAUUGGAGCACAGAUUUGAGACCCUUCGUCUGGAGGAAAAAUUAGAGGUCCUUGUGGGUGGAGGGCUGAAUGGAGAAUGGGAAACACCAAUCCAGGGCUACAAACAGCAUGGUUGGAUCACUUAAAGGUUGGGAAUCCAUCUGUGCCACCCAGUUGAUCACCGAGGGCUUGGGUCGGCUGGUCCACACGGUGCAGGUCUUGGCAGGUCCGCGCUAGCAGACCGGAUCCGCUAGGGGCGGACAGGCUAAGCACUGCUCCAUCCUUCUCUUAGCUCCAUGUCGUCCACUGAUUUUGCUGUCAUCCAAAGGUCUUGGUUUGUAAUCAUUGGUUGUUGAAAGUGAAAGAUGGAUUUCUUCCGUGUUUACAAGUAAAAACAGGCGUUUAGUUUGAUUUUUUUGGUUUUCAAUUAGACCUACAUCAAUUAUGCACAUGGCAAGUGGAAGUCGAGCAACUUGUUUUUUAAGUUGAUUCAUACUUUUUUUUGUUAGGAUUUUUAACUUUAAACUUUUUUUUACUCGUCAAACAUCUAAUUAUCAUGCAAUUGUUCAUACGGCAUUAUCAUUAUCAUCCCGACCAACAAUAACAGCGUAUGACUGCACUGAAUCCAUCAAAAAAAGCAUGUAUUUUCAAUCUUUGUCAGUUCCAUUCCCUGUCGUCGUCAUUCAGUAAAUUCAAAUAAAUAGCUAUACAAUUUGAUCGACUAUAUGGGCAGUGACUUGAGUGUUGCUGUUUAUUCCUGUGCCCAUCAGACUCCAUCCCACCUCUCUUAUUCAGUCGACGAAGAGAACACAGUCUAUCUCUUGUUUAACAGUUCUACCGAUAACUAUAACCCUAACCCUCAACCAAUCAGAACCCAUUAUGAAGGGCUCAUAGCCAUUGGUUCUUUUUAGCACUGUUAAGCUCGGGCGCAACUUUGAAAAUGCUUUGUAUUUUUUAUUUUAUUUUUUUAACACGAUGCACAAAAAAAAAAAAAGUACUGAUUCGUUCAGAAAACGUUCUCACUUGCAGUUACAGCCAGGGGCAGCUGCAGCACCCUAAGCACCCCCACUUCCCGCGUCCCUGGGUAACACUGUUGUUUUUUAUUGGUCGUCAUGAAAAAAAACAAAGGGUAACACUGUUGUCUUUGUCAAAUAUUUCAUAAGGGGUAACAGUGUCGUUUUUUUAUUGGUCGUCAUGAAAAAAAACAUAAGGGGUAACACUGUUGUUUUUUAUUGGUCGUCAUGAAAAAAACGCAAGGGGUAACACUGUUGUUUUUUAUUGGUCGUCAUGAAAAAAAACAUAAGGGGUAACACUGUCAUUUUUUAUUGGUCGGAUCCCUGCAAAAACGUCGGCAGGGGUGCCACUGUCGUUUUUUAUUGGUCAACAUGGAAAAAACAUGAGGGGUAACUAUGUAGUUUUUUAUCGGCCGUCAUGAAAUAAAUAUAAGGGGAAAACACUGUUGAUAUUUAUCAAAUAAAACAUAGGGGGUGACACUGUUUUUCUUUGUUCGUCAUGAAAAAAAACACAAGGGGUAACACUGUCGUUUUUAUCAAAUGAAACAUAAGGGGUAACACUGUCGUUUUUCUUUGGUCGUCAUGAAAAAAACCAUAAGGGGUAACACUGUUGUUUUUUAUUGGUCGUCAUGAAAAAAAACAUAAGGGGUAACACUGUUUUUUAUUGGUCAUCAUGAAAAAAAACAUAAGGGGUAACACUGUCGUUUUUUAUUGGUCGUCAUGAAAAAAAACAUAAGAGGUAACACUGUCAGUUUUUAUUGGUCGUCAUGAAAAAAAGACAUCAGGGGUAACACUUCUGUUUUUUAUUGGUCGUCAUGAAAAAAAAGGUAAGGGGUAACACUGUUGUUUUUUAUCGGUCGUCAUGAAAAAAAACGUAAGGGGUAACACUUUUGCUUUUUAUUGGUCGUCAUGAAAAAAAAACAUAAGGGGUAACACUGUUGUUUUUUAUUGGUCGUCAUGAAAAAAACGUAAGGGGUAACACUGUUGUUUUUUAAUGGUCGUCAUGAAAAAAAACAAAGGGUAACACUGUCGUUUUUUAUUGGUCGGAUCCCUGCAAAAACGUCGGCAGGGGUGCCACUGUCGUUUUUUAUUGGUCAACAUGGAAAAAACAUGGGGGGUAACUAUGUCGUUUUUUAUCGGCCGUCAUGAAAUAAAUAUAAGGGGAAAACACUGUCGAUAUUUAUCAAAUAAAACAUAGGGGGUGUCACUGUUGUUUUUCUUUGUUCGUCAUGAAAAAAAACACGAGGGGUAACACUGUCGUUUUUAUCAAAUGAAACAUAAGGGGUAACACUGUUGUUUAUUAUUGGUCGUUGUGAAAAAAAACAAGGGAAAUAAUAGAAAUACACACAUACAUUUUAAUGUCAUGUAUAUCCUCUUUAUUGAAGAUUGAUUAUUGUGUAAUGUCAUCGCCUUUAUUGGUCAUCAUGAAAAAAACAAAGGGUAACACUGUUGUCUUUGUCAAAUAUUUCAUAAGGGGUAACACUGUCGUUUUUUUAUUGGUCGUCAUGAAAAAAAAACAUAAGGGGUAACACUGUCGGUUUUUAUUGGUCGUCAUGAAAAAAUGACAUCAGGGGUAAAACUUCUGUUUUUUUAUUGGUCGUCAUGAAAAAAAAGGUAAGGGGUAACACUGUCGUUUUUUAUCGGUCGUCAUGAAAAAAAACAUAAGGGGUAACACUGUUCUCUUUGUCAAAGAAAAUAUAAGGGGUAACACUGUCGUUUUUUAUCAGUCGUCAUGGAAAAAACAAGGGGUAACACUGUUGUGUUUUAUUGGUCAUGAAAAAAAACAUAAGGAGUAACACUGUUGUUUUUUAUUGGUCGUCAUGAAAAAAAACAAAGGGGGUAACACUGUUGUUUUUUUUUGGUCGUCAUGAAAAAAAACAUAAGGGGUAACACUGUUGUUUAUUAUUGGUCGUUGUGAAAAAAAACAUAAGGGAAAUAAUAGAAAUACACGCAUACAUUUUAAUGUCAUGUAUAUCCUCUUUAUUGAUGAUUGAUUAUUGUGUAAUGGCAUCGCCUCAGUGGUGCAGUGGAGUGCACUCUGCCUAACCCCCUGCAUACUGGGGUUCAAGUCUGGUAGAUGACAUCUGUUGGAAGACUCAUAUCUCUAUUUCAUGCGAAUUAUAAAGUCAAGUAUAACCUUUGUGAUGACUUUAACUGGUGUCUUGAUGGUGCAUUGUUAAGUUCGGAGGCUGACACUCUAAACAGCUCAUGUUCGGAUCCCUGCAAAAACGUCGGCAGGGGUGCCACUGUCGUUUUUUAUUGGUCAACAUGGAAAAAAUAUAAGGGGAAAACACUGUCGACAUUUAUCAAUUAAAACAUAGGGGGUGACACUGUUGUUUUUCUUUGGUCGUCAUGAAAAAAAACAUAAGGGGUAACACUGUUGUUUUUUAUUGGUCGUCAUGAAAAAAAACAUAAGGGGUAACACUGUUGUUUUUUAUUGGUCGUCAUGAAAAAAACAUAAGGGGUAACACUGUUGUUUUUUAUUGGUCGUCAUGAAAAAAGUCAUAAGGGGUAACACUGUUGUUUUUUAUUGGUCGUCAUGAAAAAAAUCAUACGGGGUAACACUGUUUUUUAUUGCUCGUCAUGAAAAAAAACAAGGGGUAACACUGUUGUUUUUUAUUGGUCGUCAUGAAAAAAAACAUAAGGGGUAACACUGUUGUUUUUGUCAAAUAAAAUAUAAGGGGUAACUGUCGUUUUUUAUCAGUCGUCAUGAAAAAAACAUAAGGGGUAACACUGUCGUUUUUUAUUGGUCAUCAUGAAAAAAAUCAUAAGGGGUAACACUGUUGUUUUUUAUUGGUCAUCAUGAAAAAAAUCAUAAGGGGUAACACUGUCGUUUUUUAUUGGUCAUCAUGAAAAAAAUCAUAAGGGGUAACACUGUUGUUUUUUAUUGGUCGUCCUGAAAAAAAACAUAAGGGAAAUAAUAGAAAUACACACAUACAUUUUAAUGUCAUGUAUAUCCUCUUUAUUGAUGAUUGAUAAUUGUGUAAUGUCAUCGCCUUUAUUGGUCAUCAUGAAAAAAAACAAAGGGUAACACUGUUGUCUUUGUCAAAUAUUUCAUAAGGGGUAACACUGUCGUUUUUUUAUUUGUCAUCAUGAAAAAAAACAUAAGGGGUAACACUGUCGUUUUUUAUUGGUCGUCAUGAAAAAAAAACAUAAGGGGUAACACUGUCGGUUUUUAUUGGUCGUCAUGAAAAAAUGACAUCAGGGGUAAAACUUCUGUUUUUUAUUGGUCGUCAUGAAAAAAAAAGGUAAGGGGUAACACUGUCGUUUUUUAUCGGUCGUCAUGAAAAAAAACAUAAGGGUUAACACUGUUCUCUGUCAAAUAAAAUAUAAGGGGUAACACUGUCGUUUUUUAUCAGUCGUCAUGAAAAAAACAUAAGGGGUAACACUGUUGUUUUUUAUUGGUCGUCAUGAAAAAAAACAUAAGGGGUAACACUGUUGUCUUUGUCAAAUAAAAUAUAAGGGGUAACUGUCGUUUUUUAUCAGUCAUGAAAAAAACAUAAGGGGUAACACUGUCGUUUUUUAUUGGUCAUCAUGAAAAAAAACAUAAGGGGUAACACUGUUGUUUUUUAUUGGUCGUCAUGAAAUAAAACAGGGUAACACUGUUGUCUUUGUCAAAUAUUUCAUAAGGGGUAACACUGUCGUUUGUUAUUGGUCGUCAUGAAAAAAAACAUAAGGGGUAACACUGUUGUUUUUUAUUGGUCGUCAUGAAAAAAAACAUAAGGGGUAACACUGUUGUCUUUGUCAAAUAAAAUAUAAGGGGUAACACUGUCGUUUUUUAUCAGUCGUCAUGGAAAAAACAAGGGGUAACACUGUUGUUUUUUAUUGGUCGUCAUGAAAAAAAACAAAGGGGGUAACACUGUUGUUUUUUUUGGUCGUCAUGAAAAAAAACAUAAGGGGUAACACUGUUUAUUAUUGGUCGUUGUGAAAAAAAACAUAAGGGAAAUAAUAGAAAUACACUCAUACAUUUUAAUGUCAUGUAUAUCCUCUUUAUUGAUGAUUGAUUAUUGUGUAAUGUCAUCGCCUCAGUGGUGCAGUGGAGUGCACUCUGCCUAACCCCCUGCAUACUGGGGUUCAAGUCUGGUAGAUGACAUCUGUUGGAAGACUCAAAUCUCUAUUUCAUGCGAAUUAUAAAGUCAAGUAUAACCUUUGUGAUGACUUUAACCGGUGUCUUGAUGGUGCAUUGUUAAGUUCGGAGGCUGACACUCUAAACAGCUCAUGUUCGGAUCCCUGCAAAAAUGUUGGCAGGGGUGCCACUGUCGUUUUUUAUUGGUCAACAUGGAAAAAAUAUAAGGGGAAAACACUGUCGACAUUUAUCAAUUAAAACAUAGGGGGUGACACUGUUGUUUUUCUUUGGUCGUCAUGAAAAAAAACAUAAGGGGUAACACUGUUGUUUUUUAUUGGUCGUCAUGAAAAAAAACAUAAGGGGUAACACUGUUGUUUUUUAUUGGUCGUCAUGAAAAAAAUCGUAAGGGGUAACACAGUUGUUUUUUAUUGGUCGUCAUGAAAAAAAACAUAAGGGGUAACACUGUUGUUUUUUAUUGGUCGUCAUGAAAAAAAUCAUAAGGGGUAACACUGUUGUUUUUUAUUGGUCGUCAUGAAAAAAAUCAUAAGGGGUAACACUGUUGUUUUUUAUUGCUCGUCAUGAAAAAAAACAUAAGGGGUAACACUGUUGUUUUUUAUUGGUCGUCAUGAAAAAAAACAUAAGGGUCAACACUGUUGUUUUUGUCAAAUAAAAUAUAAGGGGUAACUCGUUUUUUAUCAGUCGUCAUGAAAAAAACAUAAGGGGUAACACUGUCGUUUUUUAUUGGUCAUCAUGAAAAAAAUCAUAAGGGGUAACACUGUUGUUUUUUAUUGGUCGUCAUGAAAAAAAACAUAAGGGAAAUAAUAGAAAUACACACAUACAUUUUAAUGUCAUGUAUAUCCUCUUUAUUGAUGAUUGAUUAUUCCGUAAUGUCAUCGCCUCAGUGGUGCAGUGGAGUGCACUCUGCCUAACCCCCUGCAGACCGGGGUUCAAGUCUGGUAGAUGACAUCUGUUGGAAGACUCAUAUCUCUAUUUCAUGCGAAUUAUAAAGUCAAGUAUAACCUUUGUGAUGACUUUAACCGGUGUCUUGAUGGUGCAUUGUUAAGUGCGGAGGCUGACACUCUAAACAGCUCAUGUUCGGAUCCCUGCAAAAACGUUGGCAGGGGUGCCACUGUUGUUUUUUAUUGGUCAACAUGGAAAGAAUAUAAGGUUGACAUUUAUCAAAUAAAACAUAGGGGGUGACACUGUUGUUUUUCUUUGGGCGUCAUAAAAAAAACAUAAGGGGUAACACUGUUGUUUUUUAUUGGUCGUCAUGAAAAAAAACAUAAGGGGUAACACUGUUGUUUUUUAUUGAUCGUCAUGAAAAAAAACAAGGGUAACACUGUUGUUUUUUAUUGGUCGUCAUGAAAAAAAUCAUAAGGGGUAACACUGUUGUUUUUUAUUGGUCGUCAUGAAAAAAAACAAGGGUAACACUGUUGUUUUUUAUUGGUCGUCAUGAAA